rnacentral:rRNA from 1 species
CCUACGGGAGGCAGCAGUGAGGAAUAUUGGUCAAUGGGCGCUAGCCUGAACCAGCCAAGUAGCGUGAAGGAUGACUGCCCUAUGGGUUGUAAACUUCUUUUAUAUGGGAAUAAAGUGCAGUAUGUAUACUGCUUUGCAUGUACCUUAUGAAAAAGGAUCGGCUAACUCCGUGCCAGCAGCCGCGGUAAUACGGAGGAUCCGAGCGUUAUCCGGAUUUACUGGGCGUAACGGGCGCGUAGGAGGUAGGUCAAGUCAAGGGUGAAAUCCCCGCGCUCAACGGGGGAACUGCCUUUGAAACUGGCAAACUGGAGUGUGUGAGAGGAUAGUGGAAUUCCAGGUGUAGGAGUGAAAUCCGUAGAUAUCUGGAGGAACAUCAGUGGCGAAGGCGACUAUCUGGCACAUAACUGACGCUGAGGAGCGAAAGCGUGGGUAGCAAACAGGAUUAGAUACCCCAGUAGUC